rnacentral:rRNA from 1 species
CAUGGCCGUUCUUAGUUGGUGGAGCGAUUUGUCUGGUUAAUUCCGAUAACGAACGAGACUCUAGCCUACUUAAUAGAGAACCGAUUUCCUCUCGUCGGUUACUCUUCUUAGAGGGACAAGCGGCGUUUAGCCGCACGAGACAGAGCAAUAACAGGUCUGUGAUGCCCUUAGAUGUCCGGGGCCGCACGCGCGCUACACUGAAGGAAUCAGCGUGUGUUCACCCUUUCCGAAAGGUAUGGGUAACCCGUUGAACCUCCUUCGUGAUAGGGAUAGGGGCUUGUAACUAUUCCCCUUGAACGAGGAAUUCCCAGUAAGCGCGAGUCAUAAGCUCGCGUUGAUUACGUCCCUGCCCUUUGUACACACCGCCCGUCGCUACUACCGAUUGAAUGAUUUAGUGAGGUCUUCGGACUGGUGCUCGGGGCGGCUUUCGGGUCGCCUCGAUGCACCGGAAAGAUGACCAAACUUGAUCAUUUAGAGGAAGUAAAAGUCGUAACAAGGUUUCC